AAAAACCGCGCCCGUUUUCUAGUCAGUCCCGUGACGUCAGCCCGUCCAAUCACAGCUGAGCUGAGCUUCACUCAAAGAGUCACGAAAAACAACAGAAAGAUGGCUGACAGAAAACCGACACUCACGCCGUGGAGAAACUAAAGCAACAGGCAAAGGCAUAGUGGAGUGCUGGGAUGUCAAAGGCAACAAGAUGGCUGCAAUACUACAAGCCUAAAUUGAAGAAAAGGAGCCUGAGCAGGUGCAGAAGGCAGCAGUCCCCAUCAUUGCUGCUGAGGAGGAAGAGGAAAUGUCACGAGGGAAACCACUGGAUGUUUUGAUUGUCUUUGAAGAUGAAGAGGUGAUGUCAACCAAGUCUAGGGUCAGUGCACUGCUGCUGGUUUUGCACUUUAUGCCCUCUGUUACGGUUUUGUUUUGGAUUUCUUUUCUGUUGUAGUUUUCUUCUCUUUUAUAGGUUACCAGAUAAGGAUCUACACCUGUUACCAAUUUGGGACUCUGUUUAAGGUGUCUGGCCUUUGUUGGAGGUGAAGCUUUCGUCCUUAUCCUGCAGUUGUGCUCCGAAGCUGGACCUUCACUUUGUUAAUUGUUUGUUUCUUUAUUGCUGUUCAUCCCCUGGACUUAAAUAUAUAUUCUAUUGUUAAUAUACUAUUGGACUUAGAACCCUUUUUGUUGUUGCGUCCUUGAGUCGGAUGUAACAACUGGGGGCUCGUCCAGGAUGUAACACCCUCAUUUAGAGUACACUAACUUCUCAAAGCAGCUUUACAGAAAAUGCAUGUCUACAUUACAAUUUAGCCUGAUCUGUACUAUAAUUACUAGAGUUUUCAACUUGAAUAGUGUUGUAUCAUAUGAUUUAUAGUGAUGCUACAUGGGUGUACUCACUUCUGUUGUAUACUGUAUGUUUGACUAAUACACUGGAAGAUGGCAGAUAUUAACUUUUUUUUCUGGCGGGGAUGGAGAUGAGAUAUAUGCCACGUUCCAGGGAACCCGUAACCCGUAACCCGUGUUUUUCCAACCUUCUACCCGUGAAAGUGCCCUGGAACGGCAGUCAAACCCAUGACUUCCCACCCGUGAUCUCGUACUAUAUCGAUGUACUCCCAGUUCCGAGCUCUGACGUCACAUA